UACGAAGGGGGCUAGCGUUUGUUCGGAAUUACUGGGCGUAAAGCGCGCGCAGGCGGCUAUCCAAGUCAGUGGUGAAAGCCCGGAGCUCAACUCCGGAACUGCCAUUGAAACUGUUUAGCUUGAGGACGAGAGAGGUGAGUGGAAUUCCCAGUGUAGAGGUGAAAUUCGUAGAUAUUGGGAAGAACACCGGUGGCGAAGGCGGCUCACUGGCUCGUUUCUGACGCUCAGGCGCGACAGCGUGGGGAUCAAACAGG
rnacentral:rRNA from 1 species